GAUCAUGGCUCAGGAUGAACGCUAGCUACAGGCUUAACACAUGCAAGUCGAGGGGCAGCAUGACCUAGCAAUAGGUUGAUGGCGACCGGCGCACGGGUGAGUAACACGUAUCCAACCUACCGGUUAUUCCGGGAUAGCCUUUCGAAAGAAAGAUUAAUACCGGAUAGUAUAACGAGAAGGCAUCUUCUUGUUAUUAAAGAAUUUCGAUAACCGAUGGAGAUGUCGUUCCUAUUAGUUUGUGGCGGGGUAACG
rnacentral:rRNA from 1 species